UACAGAGGUGGCGAGCGUUGUUCGGAUUUACUGGGCGUAAAGCGUGUGUAGGCGGUUUCGUAUGUCGGAUGUGAAAGCCCAUGGCUCAACCAUGGAAUUGCAUCCGAAACUGCGGGACUAGAGUACAGUAGGGGAGAGCGGAAUUCUAGGUGUAGCGGUGAAAUGCGUUGAUAUCUAGAAGAACACCGGUGGCGAAGGCGGCUCUCUGGAAUGUUACUGACGCUGAGACACGAAAGUCGGGGGAGCAAACAGG
rnacentral:rRNA from 1 species